rnacentral:lncRNA from 1 species
AUGCUAAUCACACGUACAAACCACAGCGGCUCUCAUCAAUCCUCCUUUCAUCCCUCGUUCCCUCUCUCCUCCUCUGACGUCUCCUCUCCAUCCACGCUCAGUCCUCCUUCCCUUCUUUCCUCUUUCUCUCCUUCUUCCUUCUCUUUCUCUCCUUCCCUUCUUUCCUCUUUCUCUCCUUCUUCCUUCACUCCUUUCUCUUCCUUCCUUCUUUCUCUCUUCUUCCUUCACUCCUCUUUCUCUCCUUCACUCCUCUUUCUCUCCUUCUUCCUUCACUCCUCUUUCUCUCCUUCCUUCACUCCUCUUUCUCUCCUUCUUCCUUCACUCCUCUUUCUGUCCUUCUUCCUUCACUCCUCUUUCUCCUUCUUCCUUCUCCUUUCUGUCCUUCUUCCUUCACUCCUUUCUCCUCCUUCUUCCUCCUCUCUCUCUUCCACUCCUCUUUCUCUCCUUCUUCCUUCACUCCUCUUUCUCUCUUCCACUCCUCUUUCUCCUUCCUUCUUCUUCACUCCUUUCUCUCCUUCUUCCUUCAUUCCUUUCUCUCCUUCUUCCUUCAUUCCUUUCUCUCCUUCUUCCUUCACUCCUCUUUCUCUCUUCCACUCCUCUUUCUCUCCUUCUUCCUUCACUCCUUUCUCCUCUUCUUCCUUCACUCCUCUUUCUCUCCUUCUUCCUUCACUCCUCUUUCUCUCCUUCCUUCACUCCUCUUUCUCUCCUUCUUCCUUCACUCCUCUUUCUCUCCUUCUUCCUUCACUCCUCUUUCUCUCCUUCUUCCUUCACUCCUCUUUCUCUCCUUCUUCCUUCACUCCUUUCUCUCCUUCACUCCUCUUUCUCCUUCUUCCUUCACUCCUCUUUCUCUCCUUCUUCCUUCACUCCUUUCUCUCCUUCACUCCUCUUUCUCUCCUUCUUCCUUCACUCCUCUUUCUCUCCUUCUUCCUUCACUCCUCUUUCUCUCCUUCUUCCUUCACUCCUCUUUCUCUCCUUCUUCCUUCACUCCUCCUCUUAUGCUUCCACCUUAUCAUUCAUGCGUCUCCUCUUUUCCUUCUCUCCUCACAUCUGUCCUUACUUCCUUGUUCCUCUGAUCCUUUCUCUCUCUUUUAUUUCCCCCUUUCCUUACCUCUCACUAUUUCCUUCAUCCUUUUCUUUCCGCCUCCUUCUCUCUAA